rnacentral:rRNA from 1 species
UACGUAGGGGGCCAGCGUUGUCCGAAGUUACUGGGCGUAAAGAGCGCGUAGGCGGGCCCUUAAGUGGGGGGUGAAAGGUUGGGGCUCAACCCAACACUGCCUUUCAUACUGGGGCCUUGAGUGCGGGAGAGGCGAGUGGAAUGGUCGGUGUAGCGGUGAAAUGCGUAGAUAUCGAUCGGAACACCCAUGGCGAAGGCAGCUCGCUGGCCUGCAACUGACGCUGAGGCGCGAAAGCCGGGGGAGCGAACAGG